UCAACUUCCUUUUUUAACAGUUUGACACCCAUGCUGUGAGUUUGGAGAUAUUUUGGGUGUAUUGUUUUAUAACAGGAAGUACUUUUAUUUCUCACAAACUGAAGAAGAGAUGAAGAUGCUGCAGUUGGUUCUGAUUCUGCUCGUGCUGUCAGGUGUUUUCACUCAGGACAGUAAAUGGGGUGUGAAAUAUCCUGAUAAACCGAUCUGUGCUGUGAGAGGAUUCAGUGUCUCCAUUAAAUGUAGUUAUUAUUAUCCACGAGGUCAUCAGGUGACACAAAAGCUUUGGUGCUCGAUGAACUCAAACACAGAUUGGUGUGUAGAUCCACCGUAUGUUUAUGACAGUUCAUUAAACACCAAGUCAGACUUUAAGUUCACUGGAGACGACAAAUCAGACUGUACUUUAUUAAUCCACAAUGUACAGUUCAGUUAUUCUGGAGUUUACAGAUUCAGAUUUAUUACUAAUGUGACCGGUGGUAAAUGGACAGGUGAACAUGGAGCGACUCUACAAGUUACAGAUUUAAAGGUGUCACUAAUCAGACUCAGUGGAAACGGAACCCUUAAACAAGGAGACUCCUUAAAUCUGACGUGUGAUGUGAACUGCACACACACUUCCUCACAGUUUGUGUGGUCUAAGAACAACCAGAGUGUAAAUACAUCAGGACCCGUUCUUCACUUUCCUGCUCUAACCCUGAGGGAUUCUGGGGAUUACACCUGCACUUGGGGAACCGGUGAGACGUCAAGAUCUGAAACCAUCAGCCUUCACGUGGAGGAAAAUCCUGAACACCAGUCAGUCUGGGUCAUUGUUUUGGUGAUCAUCGGAGUGAGUGUCUUCGUCUCAGUCGUCUCAGGAGCUGUGAUUCACAACAGGAGGAGGAAAUUUACAGCUCCAGAAGAAAACGUGGGGGACAAUGGAGAGAAAACACGAACAAAGCCACAGUUCAGCUCUCAGGUUUCUCAUGUUGUUGAGGAAGAAAUGUUGAAAAAUGAGGAAGUGAUUUACUCGUCUGUCCAGUUAAAAACAACCAAAAGUUCACAGCUAAACCGAGAUCCUCAGCCUGAUAAAGAAGUGUUAGAUAAAGGAGGAGACAUUUAUGCAUCUGUGUUGAAGAAACCCAACAAAGCCACCAAACUGUGUGACCACACGGAGCAGCAGAAGGACGAUUCUGUUAUCUACAGCAGUGUGAAAAUGACCUGAUGAUAUUUUCACACCUCAUUCAACUCCAGUGCAGAUGAGUUUUAUUUAGACAUCAUCAUAAAACCUCAUCAUACAUUUUCCCAAUGCAUGUAAUUCUUUAGGAUUUAACACUUGUUAAUAUAACAGGACAUUUAUUUUCUGUACACAUCCUGUUAAGAAGGGCAUUUAAACUCUUACAUUUUUGUCAUUUCUUUUUAUUUGUUCAUUACAUUGUAUUGAUGAAGGUGGUGGUGGUGGGGGGGUCUAUAACAAAGGAAUAAGAGUUACACAAAUGGCUUCAAUUGACAAACCAAACUGAGUAUUUCAUUAAAUGUUUAAGAAAAUAUAUAGCAGCUGUCCAGUUAUAAAUCAUCCUAGACGUUGCUUAUGGUGUCAGGCUGUGACAGUAUCGUCCCCAAUAGAGCCAGUGUUAUAUUUAUUACAAAGGAAUUGAUUCUCUAAUUAAGUCUAAAUUCGUGUGAUUUCUUCAUUGUAAUUAGGGGUCCAAGCACCAAGGGUGAGUAGGAACCCUGUAGUUAUUCUACCUUUUCUUCUUCCUCUUCUUCUGGCUUGCUAGACUGUUUUAGUUUUCUAUGUGGAGAUGGAUUUAACUGCUCUGGGAUUUUAGACCCUUCUGAAUCCAUCGUGUCAUGAAUCUUUUACAAACAGGAGGCAGCUGAGUCUUUCCUGAAGACCACAUCUCCCCUUCUAGGACCUUUCAGCCCCGUGUGAUCCAGUGAAGUGGAGUUUCUGACCCUGGACAAGGGUUCAAUUAGCCAGUCAUUUGGUCUUUCUGCAAAUCUACUGCUUUUUGCCCCACAAGUCAGUGGAGUAGGAGAUUCUGCACCUGCUGCACCGGGUUCAGGUUCUCAGAAUUUAUGUCCAUGUCAGGAUCCAGCCCGGACUUUGGCCAUGUGCGUUUGUUUAAGUUCUGUGUCACGUGUCUGCCGCCCUUGGUUAGGACUCUGCACACCUGUUCCUGAUGUGUUAAUUGUUUUGUCUCAUUAGCCGUGCCACGUUGCCUAUGGCAGCGUGGAAUCCUUGUUGUUGUAUUUGUCACGUCAUUGUCAUGUCUCUUGUCGUGUUCUUGUCCCUGUUUUGUAUUUUUAUUUAUUAAACCUGUUUAUUUUUACGCUAUCCUGCAUUUGGGGCAUUUUUACCCAGCAUUGCUGACAGAAGGAUUCUGCCAGACUCAGACCCAGCAGGAUAGUGUCAGCCUGGACCAGCUUACUGUGGGAGCUUUUUUUUUUUUCUGGACUGUUCCUCCUGCCCUGUUUUUUGGGUGACAUCGCUCCACAUUUGUUUCCGGUGAGGGGCUUCCUGUUUUCCCCCGGAGGAUGCCACCUCACUUCUUACUGGCGGACGAUGUCACCAACCUGGUUUUGUUUUUUUCUUUCUCUGUGUCCUGCGAGAUUGCCCCGCACCUGUCCAGUGGGGGACGUCGCUUCACUUCUUGGUUUUCCCUGGAGGACGCCGCCUUACUUCCUGUCCACAGGGGGUGUUGCUGGGCCGUAUUUUGCCCGUACUGUCAGGAUCCAGCCCUGAAUUUCUCCAUGUGCGUUUGUUUAUGUUCUGUGUCACGUGUCUGCCCCGCCCUUGGUUAUUCCUCCUGCCUCUGCACACCUGUUCCUGAUGUGUUGAUCUAUUAUAUCUGUGUCUCGUCUAUUUAGCCGUGCCACUUUGCUUACGUUUAUUUAUUAAACCUGUUUAUUUUUAUGC